UACUAGAUGUUGGAAAGAAAAUAAGGAAGACUCCUGUUGUGGUUGGAAAUUGCACAGGAUUUGCCGUCAACAGGAUGUUUUUCCCCUACACGCAAGCUGCUAUUUUGCUAGUUGAACGUGGCACGGAUCUUUAUCAGAUUGAUAGGGCAAUCACCAAAUUUGGAAUGCCAAUGGGUCCUUCCGGUUAUGUGAUCUGGUUGGUUUUGGUGUG
rnacentral:misc_RNA from 1 species